CCUACGGGAGGCAGCAGUGGGGAAUAUUGCGCAAUGGGCGAAAGCCUGACGCAGCGACGCAGCGUGAGGGAUGAAGGUCUUCGGAUCGUAAAACUCUGUCAGCAGGGAAGUACGGUCACUGUGCUAAUCAGCAGUGCAUUGACGGUACCUGCAAAGGAAGCACCGGCUAACUCCGUGACAGCAGCCGCGGUAAUACGGAGGGUGCGAGCGUUAAUCGGAAUUACUGGGCGUAAAGCGCGCGUAGGCGGUAUGUCAAGUCAAGGGUGAAAUCCCCGGGCUCAACGUGGGAACUGCCUUUGAAACUGGCAAACUUGAGUGUGUGAGAGGAUAGUGGAAUUCCAGGUGUAGGAGUGAAAUGCGUAGAUAUCAGGAGGAACAUCAGUGGCGAAGGCGACUAUCUGGCACAUAACUGACGCUGAGGAGCGAAAGCGUGGGUAGCAAACAGGAUUAGAUACCCGUGUAGUC
rnacentral:rRNA from 1 species